rnacentral:rRNA from 1 species
GGAAACAGAUGCUAAUACCGCAUAACAACUUGGACCGCAUGGUCCGAGUUUGAAAGAUGGCUUCGGCUAUCACUUUUGGAUGGUCCCGCGGCGUAUUAGCUAGAUGGUGGGGUAACGGCUCACCAUGGCAAUGAUACGUAGCCGACCUGAGAGGGUAAUCGGCCACAUUGGGACUGAGACACGGCCCAAACUCCUACGGGAGGCAGCAGUAGGGAAUCUUCCACAAUGGACGAAAGUCUGAUGGAGCAACGCCGCGUGAGUGAAGAAGGGUUUCGGCUCGUAAAACUCUGUUGUUAAAGAAGAACAUAUCUGAGAGUAACUGUUCAGGUAUUGACGGUAUUUAACCAGAAAGCCACGGCUAACUACGUGCCAGCAGCCGCGGUAAUACGUAGGUGGCAAGCGUUGUCCGGAUUUAUUGGGCGUAAAGCGAGCGCAGGCGGUUUUUUAAGUCUGAUGUGAAAGCCUUCGGCUCAACCGAAGAAGUGCAUCGGAAACUGGGA